UUGUAGCGGGUAUAGUUUAGUGGUAAAA
rnacentral:tRNA from 56 species